AUUCGCGGAACCAAAUGGAAGGAGCUUUCAGACGAGGGAGGUUGAACCACGUGCAGUUGCCCCAAUAGAUUGCUUUGAAAAUGGCGAAUAGAUCCGCGGAGAACACUUCUCAAGGGUGCCCCAUAGUUAUCAAGGAGAGUCUGUUUGAUCUUGGCUGUCUUCCUCCAGCUCUCAUCAUUAUUUUUAUACUGGCCUUUGUCAAGCAAAGGGUCAAAUCUGGACUUCAAAACUGCAAUGGAUUUCCUGGUUUGCUGAUGUGAGUACAGAAUUGAUUAAUCAAGCAAAAAGGUCAAGGCUUACAUUGAAGACCAUUUGAUUUUUUAAGUGAUUUUGGCAACAGAUUCACUUUUGCUGUUAUGUUUGGUGCCACUUCUAGCACAUGCUUAAAUGUGUUUUUACAACCAAAAAAUGGAAUUUUUCAGAUGCCUGACCCAGCUGGAUGGGUGUAGGCUGCUGCACAAUUGCAUAUUCAUCAGUUAUGAGAACUUUUCUGUUGGAUCAAGAAAACAUCUUCUACCUGAGAAGGUUUGGGUAUUCUCAUCACCUGUUUGCAGGAUAAU